rnacentral:rRNA from 1 species
CAACGUGGGUAAUCUGCCCUCAAGUGGGGAAUAACGCUGCGAAAGCAGUGCUAAUACCGCAUAAGCUCGCUACGCAAGUAGCGCGUAAAGCUAAGGCGCUUGAGGAGGAACCCGCGGUUGAUUAGCUAGAUGGUGGGGUAACGGCCUACCAUGGCGAUGAUCGAUAGCCGGCCUGAGAGGGCUGACGGCCACACUGGGACUGAGACACGGCCCAG